rnacentral:rRNA from 1 species
AUUGAACGCUGGCGGCAGGCCUAACACAUGCAAGUCGAGCGGAUGAGGAAAGCUUGCUUUUCGAUUCAGCGGCGGACGGGUGAGUAAUGCCUAGGAAUCUGCCUGUUAGUGGGGGAUAACUCGGGGAAACUCGGGCUAAUACCGCAUACGUCCUACGGGAGAAAGUGGGGGAUCUUCGGACCUCACGCUAACAGAUGAGCCUAGGUCGGAUUAGCUAGUAGGUGAGGUAAUGGCUCACCUAGGCGACGAUCCGUAACUGGUCUGAGAGGAUGAUCAGUCACACUGGAACUGAGACACGGGCCAGACUCCUACGGGAGGCAGCAGUGGGGAAUAUUGGACAAUGGGCGAAAGCGUGAGCCAGCCAUGCCGCGUGUGUGAAGAAGGUGUUCGGAUUGUAAAGCACUUUAAGUUGGGAGGAAGGGUAUUCACCUAAUACGUGGGUACUUUGACGUUACCAACAGAAUAAGCACCGGCUAACUCUGUGCCAGCAGCCGCCGUAAAAC